rnacentral:lncRNA from 1 species
ACCAACGGGCACCGAGAGGAGCCGAGGGGUGCCGGGCUCUGGAGGGAAAACCUGAGCUGACAUCUCAGGCUCUGCGCUGAGUGUCUGGGCGCCGGGAUGUGCGGACCGCUGGCUUGAACCCUUGGGCUGGAGACGCUGGAGCGGGCGGCUACAUUGUCGGGCGAAGAGUUACGUUGUUGCACUGGAGCGAUAGAGUAGAAUGUAUCUCUCACCGCGUUCCCAAAUUUGGCUCCGGAUUGGACUUUGGCAGUGUGUGUGGUUUGUCUGGGGCACCAACGAAGGUUUUAUUUACUUGAGAAGGACCGUCACAGCCCCACGACUUAAGCCCGAUAGAGGCAUUUCCCCCCCUAGAUUCUCGGAUCCGGGAGCGUAUGGCUGCUGAAUGAGAACGAGUUCUUUUCUAAACGAGUUUCUAAAUUUACCAGCAGUGCCCCGGAAGAAGCCAACGCAUGCAUAUUCAGCACCAAAAAGACUGGCACAGUUUUUUUUUUUUUUUUUUUUUGACAAACUGGGCCUCGUUCCUUGAAGGGUGGGCGGGAAUGUGCUUUCUGUUUUUAUGAAAAUGUCAAGGAACUUCUCUGAAUCACAUUAGGCAUGCUAAUUACAAAUAUUAAAUGCUAAUUGCUCUGUACACCUAGGUCUUUGCCUGCCAGGGAAGGGAGAUGAAACUGGAAUAAGCUACUGGUGACAUUAUGAUGGGGGUGUUUUAGGAGUGAUGUAUUGCAACCUCCACUUGGAGGUGGGAAGUCCUGUGUCUUAAGCCCAAAUGGAAAACACACUAGUGUUUAUGAGUUGCUGUAAGCCUCAAGCUUUCCAGCAAUAAUGAGCCUUAGUUGAGUUUAAGCUCCUGCUAAAGGGGAGGUGAGCCGAGGCAGGAAAAGAAUUGCCAGGAGAUGGCUCCCACGGAACUGUUACCCGGCCCAGGGUCAGGAUCAUGCAGCAGAUAAGAUAGGCAACGAGUGUGUCACUUACUGCUGGUUUGAUUGGGUUCAGCCGUAUUCUUGGGUUAUGGUGUUCACAUCACAGCCUGCACAGGGAGACAUUUAUGCCUUUGAGUUGUGAUAGCCUGUUCACUUCUGUGUCCCUGAGCCAAACUGCAAGCUCCAUGAGACUGGGGGUGGUGUCUAUAGUUGGCAGCACUCGGUUAUAGGCUGAGUGAACGUGGGAGGCCAGGGCGCAGUCCAGGCACCCAGUGGAGUCAGCUGGCUUGGCUUUCUUCCAGGUGCUGCACAGCUGAGCCCAGCGGAGGUGGGGUGGAGGGUGGCAUUCCUAGGGCACUGCAUGGCACUGGGGGACAGUGGAAGAGCAAAACUAUUCCUCCCUCCUGCAGGUUGAACAAAGCUGCUCCAGCAUGUGCCUCCUCAAAUGAAGACAAUGAAUGACACUCUUGGCUCUCCUGUAGAGGAGGCCUGCCAGAUCCUUGUCCCAGAGCACAGGCCCUGUCACAGCCUCCAGGGUUCAGAGACACGGAGCAGUUCUAGACUGACUGACACGCGUUCCUCCACGUGCUUGUGCAUCUUCCCUGGUCCCUGGGGAUCCAAGCAAUCUCCCCAUAAUGUGAAGCUUUAGUGAAAUGGAAAUAUAGCUGUACUCCAAACCCCCAAGGCUCUUGGCUCCAUCCCAUGGCUCAGUAGUGCCUAGACUUUGGCAAUUUGAAGUAAAACUUCAGAAACAUAUUAGGGGAGUUCCCUGGUGGCUCAGUGGGUUAAGGAUCCAGGGUCGUCAUUGUUGUGACUCUGGUUACAGCUGUGGCUUGGGUUUAACCCCUGGCCCAGGAACUGCCACAAGCCUCAGCCAAAAAAACCCCAAGAAAGAAACAACAGAAUGUAUUUGGCACUGUCAUCAGUUUGCCAACUUUCUCCUUUGCAAGACCAGACACUGAAAACUUAGACGUUGUCUCCAUUAUUCACUUCUCUUCUGACCAGCAAUAACCCCACUAAGCAAGGCUGGGGGCACACUGCCCUGCUUACAGCAUGUGGUCCUCAAACUAAAGCAUGUGUAAGAAGCAUCUGGAAAGUUAAGACCAGUGUCUGGGUCCAGCCCUCCAUCCCGAUAGUGCUGGUCUUGGGUGGAGGUUGGGGUUCUGCUUUUCUNUUUUUUUUUUUUUUUUUUUUUUUUUUGGGGGGGGGGGGGUCUUUUUAGGGCCGCACCCAUGACAUGGGUAAGUUCCCAGGCUAGAGGUCGAAAUCAGAGCUGUAGCCACCAGCCUACGCCACAGACACACUGCAACACAUAUCCAAGCUGCAUCCGUGACCUACACCACAGCUUGUGGCAAAACCAGAUCCUUAACCCACUGAAUGAGGCUAGGGAUUGAACUGCAUCCUCAUAGAUACUAUUUGAGUUCUUAACUUGCUGAGCUACAGUGAGAACUCCAGGGUUCUGCUUUUCUAAUGGGCUCCCAGGUGGUCUUCAGCAGAGACCAGUCUUUGAGUAGCACUGGCUUCAAGGUUCUCUGAACUUCUCCUACUUUUCAAGGUGCAACCCCGAUGCCCCUUUCAUGAAGCCUCCUUAAGCCAUCCUUAGUAGAGAAUAAUUUCUCACCUAGAAAAAUUCUUGGAGUCCCUGUCAUGGCUCAGUGGUAAUGAACCUGACUAGAAUCCAUGAGGAUGUGGGUUCCAUCCCUGGCCUCGCUCAGUGGGUUAAGGAUCCAGGGCUGCCGUGAGCUAUGUCGUAGGCCAAGAGCUACAGCUCUGAUUAGACCCCUUGCCUGGGAACUUCCAUAUGCCUCCGGUACACCCAAAAAAGACAAAAAAGUACAAAAAUGGAGUUCCCAGAGUUCCCUCAUGGCUCAGUGUGAAACCAAGCAGGCCCCAUGGGGCUCCUGGGCAUAAGCCUGCGUCCCUCAGUUCUUAUUUUUUAGGAAUAAGCUUCAGCCUCCAGGACCUUCCCUGAGUUCCAAAGGGCAGGCUCACCCAGUUGCUAAUGAAGGAAGGGAGGGGAUGCAGAGACUAGGGAGGAACAGUCUAGAAACAAUGGUACAGCCUUGGGGCAGGGUCCUGGCUCCUCCUCAGUGAAUAUACAGUAUCUUUGAGAUCUUCUGCAGAAUGAAAUGUCCCAACAAAUGAAAACCAGAGAGGAGGACCACCAGAACCAGUCCUGGGGCCACUAAACACCGGGCUUUGAAGAAUGAAAGCUUACAUCUAAACUAUUUCAUUUAGAAUGGAUAAGCAACAGGUCCUGCUGUACAGCACAGGCAACUGUAUCUAAUCACUUGUGCUAGAACAUGAUAGAAGAUAAUAUGGAUGCUAGUCGGGUUCGUUAACCACUGAGCCACAUGGGAACUGAUAGAAGAUAAUACAAGAAAAAGAAUGUAUAGAUAUGUAUGCCCGGGUCACUUUGCUGUACAGCAAAAAUUGAAAGAACAUUGUAGGAGUUCCCGUUGUGGUGCAGUGGUUAACAAAUCCGACUAGGAACCAUGAGGUUUCGGGUUCAAUCCCUGGCCUUGCUCAGUGGGUUAAGGAUCUGGCGUUUCUGUGGCUGUGGCAUAGGCCGGCGGCUCCAGCUCCAAUUCGACCCCUAGCCUGGGAACCUCCCUAUGCCGUGAGUGUGGCCCUAAAAAGCAAAAA